UACGGAGGGUGCGAGCGUUAAUCGGAAUAACUGGGCGUAAAGGGCACGCAGGCGGGCUUUUAAGUGAGAUGUGAAAUCCCCGGGCUUAACCUGGGAAUAGCAUUUCAGACUGGGAGUCUAGAGUACUUUAGGGAGGGGUAGAAUUCCACGUGUAGCGGUGAAAUGGGUAGAGAUGUGGAGGAAUACCGAAGGCGAAGGCAGCCCCUUGGGCAAGUACUGACGCUCAUGUGCUAAAGCGUCGGGAGCAAACAGA
rnacentral:rRNA from 1 species